GACGAACGCUGGCGGCGUGCUUAACACAUGCAAGUCGAACGGAAAGGCCUGCUUUCCCUUGUGGAUUGCGGGUACUCGAGUGGCGAACGGGUGAGUAACACGUGAGUGAUCUGCCCCCAACUUGGGUAUAAGCCUGGGAAACUGGGUCUAAUUCCCGAUAGGACUGCAGGGUGGCGCCUGUGGUGGAAAACGAUCUUCUAGUGGUUGGGGAUGAGCUCGCGGCCUAUCAGCUUGUUGGUGGGGUAAUGGCCUACCAAGGCGGCGACGGGUAGCCGGCCUGAGAGGGUGGACGGCCACAUUGGGACUGAGAUACGGCCCAGACUCCUACGGGAGGCAGCAGUGGGGAAUAUUGCACAAUGGGCGGAAGCCUGAUGCAGCGACGCCGCGUGGGGGAUGACGGCCUUCGGGUUGUAAACUCCUUUCGACCGCGAGGAAGCCACCUGGUUGGAAGGGUGGUGACGGUAGUGGUAGAAGAAGCACCGGCUAACUACGUG
rnacentral:rRNA from 1 species